GAUGAACGCUGACGGCGUGCCUAAUACAUGCAAGUCGAGCGAACGGACGAGAAGCUUGCUUCUCUGAUGUUAGCGGCGGACGGGUGAGUAACACGUGGAUAACCUACCUAUAAGACUGGGAUAACUUCGGGAAACCGGAGCUAAUACCGUAUAAUAUUUUGAACCGCAUGGUUCAAAAGUGAAAGACGGUCUUGCUGUCACUUAUCGAUGGAUCCGCGCUGCAUUAGCUAGUUGGUAAGGUAACGGCUUACCAAGGCAACGAUGCAUAGCCGACCUGAGAGGGUGAUCGGCCACACUGGAACUGAGACACGGUCCAGACUCCUACGGGAGGCAGCAGUAGGGAAUCUUCCGCAAAGGGCGAAAGCCUGACGGAGCAACGCCGCGUGAGUGAUGAAGGUCUUCGGAUCGUAAAACUCUGUUAUUAGGGAAGAACAUAUGUGUAAGUAACUGUGCACAUCUUGACGGUACCUAAUCAGAAAGCCACGGCUAACUACGUG
rnacentral:rRNA from 1 species